AUUCUAGAAACACCAGCCCUCGAGCUUCUCGCUCUUCCCGACGAUGGCAUCCCCAGGCUGCUCCUCAACAUGGGUAAUAUUUCAAAACCCUAACUCCCCCAAUCUUUCAAUUCAAUUUUUCGUAAAAAAUCCAAAAGGGGUUUGAUUUUAUUCACUGAAAUGGUGAAAAAAGCUGAGUGAGUGAUUGAGGUUUUCAUUGCAGGUUGUCAGAGAGUGGGCAUCAGUGGAUUGGUUUAGAUAUUUCCCAGUCGAUGUUUGAUGUAGCAUUGGAUCCGAUCUGAUCAUCUCUCUCAUCUAUUCCGACUGAUUCUCACUCGGAUUCUGGGUUGAAGAGGGAAUAUUGCAAGCAGGAAUCUUUUUCUCGUUCGGAUUCUGGACUGGUUCUUGCUCAGAUUCUGGGUUGAUUCUCACUCAGAUUCUGGGAUUCGAUCCAAUCGGCAAAUUUUCAAAAAUGGUUUCUCAAAAAGAUUGAAUCUUUUUCUAAUUUGUGUAUUUGGAGGAUCUGGAAGGAGAACAGGGAUGAAUGUUGGUGCCUUGGUGGUGGUCGGUGUUGAGCGGGAGUGGGCGGGACGGCUGCGGUCCUACUUUGAUGCGAGGGGGUGAACGGCUGUGAGAGAUUCCAGUUUAAGUAUCAAGAACAAGGCUUGUCAUUUUGUAAAAAUGAUGAGGGUGUUAUUGGACUUUAGAAAGUUUCAUUAAAGGUGUACUGUAGCUCAGUGUGCUGUGAAAGAAAGCCAGUUUUCCAAAUCAGCAUUUAGCUGCUUCAGCUUUUCUGAUGAUUUCAGCUGUCAAUCACAGCAGCUUUCAAAAUAA